GGAAGAAGUAAAAUCAACCUAAUGCCAACCAGAAGAAUCAAAGGAGAAAAGAAAGAUGGAGGAAGAUGUCACAGUCAAGUACCAAACUAAAGUCAGGAGAUCAGAGCAUCAAUGGUAGAAGUCAAAAGCAUUGGAUGAAGGAUAACAUUUUCAGUGAUGAGUAAGUGACCUGGUGCCCUGAAGCUGAUGCAGGAAAGGCUGCAGCACAUUACUGAGUCGGGUCUUGUCUACUCAGAAGCAUUCCAUAUUCCAACGAGGCAGUUAGAAACUCUUUGAAGUCUGUCCUAGCCGUCUGUUCUUCUUUUAAAUUGUCAAUAAUUUUAACACAGCAAUCAACACA
rnacentral:lncRNA from 1 species